rnacentral:rRNA from 1 species
GUGACGGCGUGCCUUUUGCAUAAUGAACCUACGAGUUACUUUUUCCGGCAAGGUUAAGGAUCUUGAGAUCCGCAGCCGAAGCGAAAGCGAGUCUUAACAGGGCGAUUAGUCGGAAGGAGUAGACGCGAAACCAAGUGAUCUACCCUUGGUCAGGUUGAAGGUUAGGUAACACUAACUGGAGGACCGAACCGAUAAGCGUUGAAAAGCUUCCGGAUGAACUGAGGGUGGGGGUGAAAGGCUAAUCAAACUUGGAGAUAGCUCGUACUCCCCGAAAUGCAUUUAGGUGCAGCCUUGGGAAUUACUACUGUGAGGUAGAGCGACUGAUAAGAUGCGAGGGCUUCACCGCCUAUCAAGUCUUGAUAAACUCCGAAUGCGCAGUAGUUCGAUCCCAGGAGUGAGGGCAUGGGUGCUAAGGUCCAUGUCCUAAAGGAGAAGAAUCCGGACCAUCAGCUAAGGUCCCGAAAUAAUUGCUAAGUUGAACUAACGAAGUCAGAUUGCUAAGACAGCUAGGAUGUUGGCUUGGAAGCAGCCAUUCAUUUAAAGAGUGCGUAACAGCUCACUAGUCGAGGAGUUUGGCGUGGAUAAUAAUCGGGCAUCAAGCAAUUUACCGAAGCUAUGGGAUC